AUUGAACGCUGGCGGCAGGCCUAACACAUGCAAGUCGAACGAGUGGCGGACGGGUGAGUAAUGUCUGGGAAACUGCCUGAUGGAGGGGGAUAACUACUGGAAACGGUAGCUAAUACCGCAUACCAUCGUAUGUGCCCAGAUGGGAUUAGCUAGUAGGUAGGGUAAAGGCUCACCUAGGCGACGAUCCCUAGCUGGUUUGAGAGGAUGACCCGCCACACUGAAUGUGUGACACGGUCCAGACUCCUAGGGGAGGCCGCAGUCGGGAAUAUUAACCAAUGGGCGCAAGCGCAAUGCAGCCACGCCGCGUGUAUGAAGAAGACAUUCGGGGUGGAGAGUACGUUCGCCGGGGAGGCGAUCCCCGAAGAAGAAGCACCGGCUAACAACGUGCCAGCAGCCGCGGUAAUUA
rnacentral:rRNA from 1 species